GUCCUGGCAGUAAACGGUGCACGCUUGGUGUGGCGGGAAUCGACCCCUGCCGUGCCGGAGCCAACGCGUUAAGCGUGCCGCCUGGGAAGUACGGUCGCAAGAUUAAACUCAAGAAAUUGACGGGACCCGCACAAGCGGUGGAGUAUGUGGCUUAAUUCGAUGCAACGCGAAGAACCUUACCCGGGCUUGACAUGCAUUUUGUCGUCUGUGAAAGCAGGCUAGUGUAGCAAUACACGGGAUGCACAGGUGUUGCAUGGCUGUCGU
rnacentral:rRNA from 1 species